rnacentral:rRNA from 1 species
UACGGAGGGUGCGAGCGUUGUCCGGAAUCACUGGGCGUAAAGGGCGCGUAGGCGGCAUGCCAAGCGUGUGGUGAAAGCCCGGGGCUCAACCCCGGGUCGGCCGUGCGGGCUGGCGUGCUCGAGCACUGUAGGGGCGGGUGGAAUUCCGGGUGUAGCGGUGGAAUGCGUAGAGAUCCGGAAGAACACCGGUGGCGAAGGCGGCCCGCUGGGCAGGAAGGCUCGCAAGAGCCGGCUGACGCUGAGGCGCGACAGCGUGGGGAGCAAACAGG